rnacentral:lncRNA from 1 species
UGCUUGGGCGUGUUCGAACGCCUAAUGUAAUCUGAACCUUCUUUUGAGUUUUCUCCAUCUUCUUCAUACACCGUUCUACUUUUAUGAGUUAAUUCUUUCGCCUUUAUCAAUAUAAACCCUACAAUGAACUCAAACAUGCAUAUAAGUGCAAUCUUGAUAAAAAUACAUAAUUAAACUAAUCUAGGGCCAACUUAGGUCAGUUAACGGCGCUUGGACUACAAUUAUCAGUCCAAUCACACACCCCAACUAACCUUUUGCUAGUCCCUAUGCAAAAUUAAAUAAAAACAAAAAGAUAACCUAUCCUUUCAUAAGGUCCCGAAGCAUUCUAGCGUGUAGCAUCAAGCCUUUAAACCCUAGGUUUCCCUAGUGACGAGUGGUGUCUCAUGAGGGGUUUUUCAGUGAUGAUACCCACAAAUAUCACAUCAUGGCAAUGUAUCAAAAUAAUUUAAACAAUAGCUUCUCAACAAACAAACAAUGCAAAGCAAUUCAAACGAACUCAAUCAUGCCAAGCAAUAUACCAAACCGUUCAAAAUUGCAAUAUCAAAUAAUAGAUUCAAAGUGUGAAGUGGUUAGAGUCAUAUUUCCCACAUUGCAACCAUUUACGAUCCCAUUUAACAACACACCUAACGUCCGAUUCAAAACUCACAAGUCAUUACAAUCUCAACAAUUAGAAAGCCACAUUCCUCUCAAGGAGGAUUGUCGUUGACGAGUAAGUGUUAAAAAUAAUUCUAAUAGAGCAAUCCCAAUUUCAAAAAACCGCCAAAGAUUGUAAAGUGUAUCGACUUGGCAAAUUUCAUGAAAGAAAGAAUUGGUAACCGUUAAGCACUAGUUUGUGAAUUUUGACUUGAUGACUUUUAAAUGCAGAAUUGAAGACUUAUAAUUCCGGAUAUUUAAGGGCCAUAUGUGAAUGAAAAAUUUGUCCAAAAAAGUAGAGGGGAUCAUAGUGGUAAGUAAUAGAUCUAACAUAUGCAUUUGGCAAUAACAAUGCCCCAACUUAAAUAAGCAUAUACUUCAAAAUCCUCUUUUUUUCACACUUUUGUCACUUGAAAUACCCCCCUUUUUUUUUUCAAACUUCUCAAAAAUUAAUUAACUCAAGACAAUUCGCAAUUAUGAGAUCUAUUUAUGCACAAUUUUUUUUUACCAAAAAGAAUGACGGAAAAGAAGAAAGAAGAGAGUUAUGGGACUUGGCCGUAAUGUAACAAAAAUUCCGAAACGUUGUGUAAAGCAUGAUAAAAAAUCGUCCAAAAAAUUUAACUCCAUCACAUACAUGUAAACAAUCAAAUAUUUUUAAAGCUAUUCAAAGAAUGAAGUUUAACAAAUUUCCCUUGAGCAAAUGUAAAAUCGCCUCACAAAAACGAUUCAUAGGCUCUAAAGUCACAAGGUAUAAAAUCUGCACUUUUAUAUUGCAGUUAUAUUGGUGGAAUACUAACAAUUUCACUUUUGAAAAACACGAACUUGUGCGCGGUGAAGUUGAUCCUCUCUCUCUUAUAUAACACAGGAAGUAAAGUAUAAGUAUGCAAGACCGAGAUUGACAUGAUUUAAUUCGCUCUUUACUCUUAAACCAUCAUAUUUACAGAGUACCAGUGCGUCAACUAUGUUUGUGAAAACAAAAACAUCAUGAUUGAUAUUUUUGUUAUGGUCCAAAAACUAAGAAUCUCAAAAACCCCACUAUGCACGAAAGAUCAAAUUAUAACAGGGAAAUGUGAGGAGUCACAAUAAAAAUUCAAAAGAACCAGAACACAAACCUGUUUCGCUUGACAUAUACAUGAACCCUUUUUUUCUUUUAACAGAGUAACUUCGCCCUAAAUAUAAUUUAGCAAGACAAUUAAAAAUGACAUUCAUCCAAUUUAAAGCAUUAAAACUAACAAUUAAAGCUUCAAAUGUAGCACUGAUCCCAACAUAUAAAACAUAAUACCUAACAUCCAGCAAUAAAGCAAAUAUGGUCAAUCGGAUCCUCCUCGCCUCCCCGCUCCCUCCUCCUCUUCCUCCUCCAACGGAUCAACAUGCCCUUCUAUAUAUUGGAGCAUACGUGUGACGACAGCCUCCUCCUCUUAAGACGACAAAAAUUUUUUUUUCGGGAUUAAUUCUUCUCUAAAUUCAGGACAUUGGUUCCUCAUCUCUUUCCCAGAUUCAGAAUGGUUCCUUUAGCUCUCCAUGCAUGAUAGCGAUCCAUCUGGUUUUUCUUCCUCCAAUUUUUCUCUUCCUUUUGCCCCUCAGAUCGGGGGGUCGGGACAAGAAAGCUCUUAUCAAUGGGCCCUCUCAGGCUCAAUCCAAAUGAAUCUAAAUGGAUAUGGACUCCGCUUCUUUUAAAUAACUCUGUCAGAAAUUCCGUAAACGUACGGAACCCCUCUUGUCUGAAGCCUUAUAUGUGGCGAACAAAGAUAAAAACAUGGAUACGGGUAAGUCACUGGUCUCCCAGUCCAUUGCCCACAACAACCUAGCCCGAGCGACAUUCAUGGAUACUGUAACGUUUUAGAGGAAAGCAGGGAAUGACAGGAAACAUAACAGAAUCAAAUACUUUCCUGAGGCGUCUCUUAUUACACUGCCCUCACCGUCCUAUUCAUCCCCCUCGAAAAGCAAUUCUUGUGAGACUACCGCUAAUAAAAUCAAGGCAAUCCCGACAGUAGGAAAUCAAACUUGGGGUUUUUCUCUCGAAGGAAUCUCAAAAAUUUAUCAAAAAAUUGUCGGGGCACUUUUAAUUUCUUUCCCCUUCUUUCCCCCCUCCCCGCUCCGAACUUACUAACCAAUUUCUUCUUUCCCCUCUUUUCAUCCUCCGUUCAGUUUGAUGGUUUUUGCCAUGAACACGUGGCAACAAUGUUUAGCACCGAUUAUUCCGCCUUAAAUUUUGUCAGAUUUAUCCACCCUUAAUGGUAAGUUUUGGACAAAAACUAAUGCCAAUAUUUCAAAAGCAACUAAUUGAGCUUCCUCUCAGUACUCUUGCCCCAUUGCGAAUUCCAUAACCUUAUUGAACAAGUUUUUCCGUAUUUUUUUUUUCCCGUGACACGAGAAGCAUCAUAAUCCAUCCCUCCCUGCCCUUUCCUUGGACUUUGACCUUUUAUUUGAAAUCCCGUGUUCCAUAUUCCCCCAAAUUUCAUACUACCCACCCCCUGCAUACCACCAAUCGAAAUACAAACACAGUCCCACAUUAUGCAACUAUGCAUGCAACGAUAUUCCUACAAGUGGGUGUUUUAACCCAAGAGUCUGCACUUGAAACUCCGAAAUGCACCAGAUGUUUAUGUUCCCAUGUAAAACUAAGGUUCUACCAAAAUUUUCAGUUUACUCAAAGUCUCCAAUCUUUAAUGACCGACACCAGACGAUACAACUCCAUUCCCUUCCGCACACAUCAAUUGAUUCAUUUUUUUUUAUUGGACAAUUCGUCAAACAUGUAAGUGGCAUAUGUAGGUAUAAAUUCCCAUGCACAAUUUCUUGACCCAAUGCUCCCAAUCUCAAUAAUAGCGUGGACGAUGAGAUUGAAACAAAAUGCCCUCACAAAUUAAGUAAUUCUUUCAUUGGGCAAUUCAUCGCACACUUGGAGUGCACACACUAGUCCUAUGUUAUCAAUUACACCUUUACCAUGAGAUCCGUCUUCUUUGUGUUUAACAACCUAAAACAAGUCACAACCGAAUGGGAGGAAAAUGUCAUGAUUGUGUGUGUAUAGGUUUUGAUUUAGACACCUACAUGUGAAACUUAAACUUUUUUUUUUUGACAACCUAGUUUUUGAUUUAUACACCUACAUGUGAAACUUAAAACUUAAAACUUUUCUAUAAUGAUGAAAUCCCUCAAAUCUAAACACUUCCAAGUAGAAUUAGGAAUUUACCUUGAUUUAUCCACCUAAAUGAUGAAAGUUUGGACACUUGGCUUCCGUCCCACCUUCAAAAUCGCCCAAGUUUUCUCUCUUUCUCUUUCUCUCGGAUGGUGCACUGUGUAAGAAAGUGAUUGAAAAAUGCGACUUUUCAGGUUAAAAAACUGCCCUGGGUCGCCAUUCGAACGCUCAUAAGAGGAGUUUCGAAAGCUAAAGUGCAUUGUUCAGCAGGGAGGGUGAGGGUGGUAAGAGGUGCCUCAGAACGCUUUUUAAUAUACUUGUCAGAAGAGUUCGAACGCUGAGUACAUUUUUUUUUGAUAAUUAAAUAUCAUAAAAAUCACAAUAAAAACUCCUAAAAAUAAAAACGAUGUGAAGUACCCCCCCACAAACAUAAGAGACGAGCUUAUCCGAAAUGCGAAAAGAAAACCAAAUUAAAAAUCGACGUUACAUAAAUUAACUUAAUCCUAACGCCUAUGUACAACAAACCGACAAGACAUCUUUGCAAGUAAUCGAACUGCGGUGGCUCGUUGUAGAUCACCACACUCAACCUCUCUUGUCUUCAGCUAAAUAAAGGCUUCAAACGAUACCCAUUGACUUAAACACACUUCUAUUUCUCGGGAUUCCGUUAUUUCAAUCGCCAAUUGAGAUGAAAUGACAUGCACCACAAAAGGUCUGGACCAUGACUUAGAAGUUUUCUAGGAAAUUAAAUGCAAACGGGAGUUGUACAAAAGCACCCUUUUGACCCACAUUGAAGAUUUGCGCAUAUCAAUUGGAUUCAUGACCACAAUUUCAUCUUGGCUUUUGAGAUUCUGGUUGUUUUAAUUGCCUAAUUCCGUAUCUCCUUAACUCAUUCAGUUGCAAUUGACUAAUGUCCCCGCCUUCUCAAGACCUCAUGUUAAUUGGCGAAUGGCAUAAUUACGCUUUGUGCUCAAUUUCAAAACGGGAGAGUGACACGCUUUUCCAUACACAAUUCCUAUACGGAGAGGACCUCCUAACAUGGUUUUGUAUGCAGUCCUAUACGCCCAUUAAUGCAUCCACUUAAUCGCAAAGACCAAUUCUUUGGGUGGGGGUGUUAACAGUUUUCUCAAGAAAAUUGUUUUGAUUCCUAUUGCCAACUCAACUUGCCCUUGGGUUGGAGGAUGGUAAGGUGUUCCAACCUAGAUCACUCCAUAUUGCGCAUGAGGAGUCCUAUGGGUCUAUAACAAAAAUAUGAGUCCCCAUCGCUAAUAAUAGGCUUCGGGAAGUUCAUGCCAAAUCUAGCAAAAAAUAUAUUCCUUCAAAAACUGACCACAACAGCAUGGUCAUUGUACGACUUGGUAUAGUUCUACCCACUUGGAUACGUAAUCUAUGGCCACUUAGAAUGUAUAGAUAUCCACACGAAUUAAUAGGAAAAGGACCCAUGAAAUCAAUACCCCAACAAUCAAAGACCUCAAGUAUAAUGAUAGGGGAAGAGGCAUUUCAUGUGCCGUUCGACAGACUUCCAACCGUUGACAGCUAUGGCGGAUGACGUGCAAAAGGCAUGAAAUAGCACAAACAUAGUGGGCAAUACAAACCACUUGUGCAAAAUUUUGGCCGCCGUUUUAUGUGAAGAAAAUGUCCCCCACAUGAUUGUGAAUGACCCAAAAUCUAAAAUGCUCUUCACCUCAUCAUUAGGAAUGCAUCGACGUAUGACCUAAUCAGACAAUUACUUAAAACAAAUACGGAUCUUCCCAGAAAAAAUACCUAACAUGCCUACAAAAUUUUUUUGUUUUUUCCUUACUUCCAUUACCGUGACACAGUGUUUGUAAAGAAUUCUACGGUGGCAAGUAAUUGGCAAUGUACGCAAACCAUGGUAAUGAAGUAUUUGCAUGAGCUGUGAUUGAAACAGUUGUCAUCAGGGAAUACUAUUGAUCGGAAGGGUGUCGUGCUUCCCCAUUAGUAGGGAGCCUUGACAAUGGUCAGCUACUACAUUUUCGGAACCCUUUCUUACUCUGAUUCAAUAGUUAAAUUCUUAUAGUAACAGGGAAUCCAACCUAAUGUGUGAAUUUCAGGGGUUUAGUCAAAGGUACUUUAGUGCGGAAUGAUCAGUCGUAUAUAUAAUAAACAAGUGAUCCAAAACAAGGCUGACUAAACUUAUCGAAGGCAAAGACCACAAAAAGCAAUUCUUUUUCGGUUGGUGAUAGUUAUUGACAUUGGGGUUUCUUCUCUAUCCUUUGCCCCCAAACAGUUCCAUAAUCACUCGCACAACAUCAGCUCAAAGGUAGAGACCAAUCGUGCAUCGAAUAUAAUUGGUGCUGUGGUGAGAAGACCUUAAGUUUAUCAAAGGUUUUGACAUUAUGGGUCCACUCAAAAGGUACAUCCAAUGAAAGCAAGUGAAACAAAGGCUCGAGAUAGCACUACACCCCUAAAUGAAGGGACGAUAAAAUCGGCAUGCCCUAAAAAUGAUCAUAAUAUCUUUCACACCUUAGGGAUAGGUAGAUGUUGAUGAAUCAUUUCGAUUUUGCUUAUCUACCUAUAGCCCUGUUCCAGACACCCAAUAUGCCCAAGAACUAUUUACAUUGGUUGUUACCAUGAAGUGACCACUUCUCCCAAUUUAAAAACCAAGUGACUUUCUGCACUCUUCUUCAAAACAAACUUCAAUAUGCUCUAAAUAUGAUUCAAAUGUAUCCCUCGUCCAUGAAUACCUCAAGGAUCUUUUCAACCAUGUCACUAAAAAUUGGAAAUCAUGCACCUUUGAAAAGUGGGCCGGUGGCAUUGUAUAGCCGAAGGCUUCUCCUAUAGGCAUAAGUGCCAAAAGGGCAUGUGAAUGUGGUCUGAUUAUUGAUCCUUUAAAAGCCACCUCAAUCUGAUUGUACCCAGAGUAACCCAUCAAAAAAUAAUAUAUGCUCGGCCCGAACACGCUCUAAGACUUGAUCAAAAAGGGGAUGAGAAAUGGUCCUUCCCUAGUUGUAGCAUUCAACUUUUCGGUAAUCGAUGCACAUUCGAUAACCGGUUUGGGAACUCUAGUUGCACAGCUCAGUAGACUCAUUCUUCACCACGUUACCCCCGGACUUCUUAGGAACACUUUGGUUACGACUCACCCACCUAGAAUCAGAAAUUGGGAUAUUGAUACCCGCAUAAAAAGUUUCAGCACUCUCCUCUAACAGCCUUUUUUAAUUGGUUUUAAACGCCUUUGCCUUGCCGCACAGGUUAGAAUCCUCUUCCAAAUAAAUACGAUGAGUGCACACAUGAGUGCGACUAAUACCGUGAAGACGCUAUUGUACAGCGAAUGACUUUUAUGCCUCUAAAGUAUUUUCAACAGUGAUCCUCUGACCUUCAGUUCGGCUCUAGAGGAUUAGACAACGGGGGUAAGAAUCACCUUCUCCAAGAAAAACGCAUACUAAGUGUAAAUGGUAGAGGUUUUUCUGUCCGGAAUUGGUGGUUUUUCUUCAGAUGAAACAAGUUUAACUACACUUGGUGCAAUGAGGUUCAAAAGUUGGGAAUCUAAUGACCCACAUGCAAGGACAGCCUCAGCUCUUCACUGACAAUGGAUGGCAUCCCUAAAAACUUACACUUUCGAAUUCCAAUUGGUCAUGGGGCUCCACUCCAAACUAGAGCUCUAUCAAUCGAAUCUUCCAUGAAACUUACUAUCCACAUGCUCUGAAUGAUGGACUCAAGGACAUUUAUUUUAUCAAUUUGGUCUACUUCCCUCAUUGUUUAACUAAAGUGAAAAUGUUUGU